GAUGAACGCUGGCGGCGUGCCUAAUACAUGCAAGUCGAGCGAACAGACGAGGAGCUUGCUCCUCUGACGUUAGCGGCGGGCGGGUGAGUAACACGUGGAUAACCUACCUAUAAGACUGGGAUAACUUCGGGAAACCGGAGCAAAUACCGGAUAAUAUAUUGAAGCGCAUGGGUGAAUAGUGAAAGACGGUUUUGCUGGCACUUAUAGAUGGAUCCGCGCCGCAUUAGCUAGUUGUUAAGUUAAAGGCUUACCAAGGCAAGUAUGCGUAGCCGACCGGAGAGGGUGGUCGGCCACCUGGGAGGGUGGACACCGACCAGGCGCCUGCGGUAGGCAGCAGUAGGGAAUCGUCCGCAAUGGUCGGAAGCCUGGCGGAGCAGCGCCGCGUGAGUUAUGACGGUCUUCGGAUCGUGAAGCUCUGUUAUUAGUGAAAAACAAAUGUGUAAGUAACUGUGCACGUCUUGACGGUACCUAAUCAGAAAGCCCCGGCUAACUACGUG
rnacentral:rRNA from 1 species